rnacentral:rRNA from 1 species
AUACGUAGGUGGCAAGCGUUGUCCGGAAUUAUUGGGCGUAAAGCGCGCGCAGGUGGUUCCUUAAGUCUGAUGUGAAAGCCCCCGGCUCAACCGGGGAGGGUCAUUGGAAACUGGGGAACUUGAGUGCAGAAGAGGAUAGUGGAAUUCCAAGUGUAGCGGUGAAAUGCGUAGAGAUUUGGAGGAACACCAGUGGCGAAGGCGACUGUCUGGUCUGUAACUGACACUGAGGCGCGAAAGCGUGGGGAGCAAACAGGAUUAGAUACCCUGGUAGUCCACGCCGUAAACGAUGAGUGCUAAGUGUUGGGGGGUUUCCGCCCCUCAGUGCUGCAGCUAACGCAUUAAGCACUCCGCCUGGGGAG